rnacentral:lncRNA from 1 species
UUCGGCUCAACAGGCUUGCCAAGGAAGGAAGGAGCCGCCACCCGCACUGGGAGAUUCAUCUGAGAGAUGAAAGGAACGGAAUGCCACAGGACAACCCUAGGGGAGGAGUGCACGACACUAGGGGCUUCGGAGGCACGAGGAUGCGACAUGAACAAGCCCACUCGCCGUCAGAGUCCCAGCGCCCUCUCUCCAGUGACCAGGCCCCCGUGGAGGGCCCAGUCCACCCUCCAGCUUUCAUAAACUUUGAAAUAACACAAUGUAAAACAGUCUAAAUUAUGUCAGAUGAUUCUAAGUGAUUAAAUGUGACAAAGAGGUAUGUCACCAGGGUGGCUGCCUGAUUCCCCAAUUCUCAGUAUCACUGAAAUGAAUCAACGGAGAGACUCUGAGUAAUGCCGGGCACGGCCACCACACUCAGGCUGCUGUUUCUUACAGAGACCUGGGAUCUUUCCCAAAUGUCACCGGUUCAGCCAGGGAUCCUGACACAGGUAAAGUGUCGAAUCACACCCAGCAACCACAAGAUUUGCCUUCUGCUGCUUGGGGGUAAUCUCCCUGUCAGAGGUGAUAAGUGUGGAAGGAUGCUUUAGAAUUAUGCCUUUUAAAAUGAAAGUAGAGUUCCAGGGUCAGGAGGCGUUGACCGGGGGACAGAGAGACUGCGGGUCAAAUGUGAGGCCAUAAACUGUCAAGAUGACACACGGUGCGGGCCUGGCAGGGCAUGACUCAUCAGGUUCUCCCAGUGCCAGUGGGACAAGUAGCACGCUCGGACAGCUGGGACGUUUGUUUUCAGGCCAAUUUCUAAAGAAAGUUCUAGAUAGUGGGGCUGGAAAGUGACCACGCGACCGACUUCUUCAGGACCUGAUGGAGUCCCUCGAGUCAUGCAGGGCUGGGGGUCUCGUACAAGGGCUCACCAGGGACAUGUUAGUGACUUACCCUGCCCAGACCAGAUUGCUUGGAAGCCACACAUAUGGUAAACAAACAGGAGAGAAAUGUGUUCCUCCUGGGUCUGCCCCACUCAUUUCCCUCCCACAGAGGAAACAGCCCACUCCUGGAGUUCAAAGCUUCCCAAAGUCCCGGAAGUUGAGACAAUAUGUAGGGGCUUAGUGGGCUCUCUCUGCUCUGAUUCCAAAAGCCCAAACCCGGAAAACAGGUCGCCCCUUCCAGGGGGUGAAAAAUGAAGUCUGAAGCUGGCAAGGAAAGAGCAGGCUUGGGAAGCCUUACUUCGGGAAACCUGGUUGACCCGACAAUUAUUUUUUAUGACCUGGCAUACGUUAUGUUGAUGGUUUCAUUUCUGGUUAUUACCUUCUAUUAAAAAGCAUCUUGAGUAAGAUGAUUACGGGGGCAUCUUAUUCCCGCCUCAGGAAUCUACUCUGAAAUUUUCAGAGAACUGUUGUUUUUCCUGGACAUAUUAUUACUAUCGUUGUUUUUGCUAUGAUUGUGAUUACGUAAACUGCUAGUUGUUAAAUAGCUCUUUUUAUUUGUCAUUGCUCACAAUCCCAUUGCUUUGAGAUAAAGAGAUAUGAGGUAGAUACCCAUAUAGGGCACAGAGAGGUCAAGCACUCCCAUAAGGUCCCUCCAAGGGCCAGGGAUGUCAGAGGUGUUCCUCUCCUCCCCCUCCCCAGCCAUCUUACCAGGACCAGUAUGG